rnacentral:rRNA from 1 species
UGCGUAGGCGGGCUAAUAAGUCAGUGGUGAAAUCUCUCGGCUCAACCGGGAAACUGCCAUUGAUACUGUUAGUCUUGAGUUCGGUUGAGGUAGGCGGAAUGUGUAAUGUAGCGGUGAAAUACUUAGAUAUUACACAGAACACCAAUUGCGUAGGCAGCUUACUAGACCGACACUGACGCUGAGGCACGAAAGCGUGGGGAGCGAACAGGAUUAGAUACCCUGGUAGUCC